UAGAGAAAAACGAGACCCUAUCAGGUGGAUGACUCGGCUCUCAGAACCGAAGAAGGGCGUGACAAGCUGCGAUAAGCUCCGGCGAGGCGCACGUAGCCGUUGAACCGGAGAUCCCCUAAUGAGACUUCUCACAAACUCCGAAAGGAGAGGGAACGCAGGGAAUGGAAACGUCUUAGUACCUGCAGGAAAAGAAAUCAAUCGAGAUGCUGUUAGUAAGGGCGACUGAACACAGCACUGGGCAAACCGAAUCUUGUGCAGAAAUGCAUAAGGCAUGUGGUGUUGUAGGACCAUCAUUAAAACCUGAGCAUGUGGAUGCACAGUUUCCUGGAAAGGAACGCCAAAGAGGGUGAUAGCCCCGUAGCAGAACACAUGCAGGUGGAGAUGGUAUCCUGAGUACCGCCUAUCGGAUAUUAGGCGGGAAUCUGGGAGGCAUCAACUUCCAACCCUAAAUAUUCAGAGAGUCCGAUAGCAAACGAGUACCGCGAGGGAACGUUGCAAAGAACCCGUAAAAGGGAGUGCAAAGAACCUGAAACCUGAUAGGCAUAGAAUGCUACUGCUUUUCGAAGUUGUAGCGUCCGUUUAGAAUAACGUGCCAGGGAGUUUAUUAUAGUGGCAAGGAUAAUCCGCAGAGGAGCAUCCAUAGGGAAACCAAUACGCCCGCAAGCAAUGAGGGGCACGGUGUGAAAGCGCCGCAAGUCACUAGAGUCAGACCCGAAACCGCGCGAUCUAACCCUGAGUAAGGUGAAGCCCGAGUAAAAUCGGGUGGAGGCCUGAAGAGGUGCUACGAGCAAGUGUUCUUCUAACUUGGGGUUAGGGGUGAAAAGCCAAUCGAGCGCGGUGAUAGCUGGUUCCUACCGAAGUUGGCCGUAGUCAAGCCUCGGAGGAGACAGUAGGAACGGUAGAGAGACGGAUCGGAGAUUGAGGCCUCGAAAGGGGUCGGUUUCUUGUCCAACUCCAAAUGUUUCUACGUCUUAGAAUCCGGGAGACGGGGCGCCGGGGUAAGCUUGGUGUCCAAGAGGGGAACAACCCAGACUACAGUUAAGGUCCCUAAUACUGGUUAAGUGUGAACGGGUGAAGGGUGUCUAUGGUCGAAGACAGCGAGGAGGUUGGCUUAGAAGCAGCCACCCUUUAAAAAGUGCGUAACAGCUUACUUGUCAAGAUCAUGGGUCCCAAAGAUGGACGGGGCUAAUCCAGUUACCGAUACUGUAGGCCUCCGCAAGGAGUGUGAUAGGUAGGUUCUCUGUUCGGGCAGAAGCAUCUCCGUGAGGGGGUGUGGACCGUGCAGUGAUGAGAAUCCUGGUGAAAGUAAGAUCCGAGCGGUGUGAGAAUCACCGCCACCGAAAGGGCAAGGGUUCCUUGGCAAUGCAGUUCAGCCAAGGGUAAGUUGAUCCUAACCGACCUCGUCAUUCGAGUCUCGGGAAAGGGCAACAGGUUAAUAUUCCUGUACUAUCGGCGUAUGUGUGGCAACACAAGCUUUGUUUCUGACAUUUUGGGCUAAGCUGACACGACUUGUCUGUUGUGCUAAGAGGAAUACCUCAUUGGAGUGCCGUUAUGGCGAGAAGGUGAUGAAAUCCUCGAAUGGUAUUGCGUAUGCAGUAUUCAGCCAACGCCUGGAAUCCGUGAAAAGGGAACAAUGAAAAAUCGCCGAUAAUCGUACCAAGAACCAGCACAGGUGCCCCUCGGUAAGAAACCUAAGGUGUCAGGGCAAUAAUUGGGUUAAGGGAACUCGGCAUAUUAGCCCCGUGCCUUCGGCAUAAGGGGUCCCUGCGGUUGUGGAUGUAUGUCUGCGAUUGCAGGGUGCAAUAUCAAGGUUGGUCCGACUGUUUAACAAAAACACAACUAACUGCUAGCCCGUAAGGGUGUGUACAGUUGGUGACGUCUGCCCAGUGCCCGUAAUUCAAACUCUGUUCCAACGGAGCUAAGAUCGGGUAAACGGCGGGAGUAACUAUAACUCUCUUAAGGUGAAUUAUGUUGCCUUAAGCCCCGUGUGUUAAACAGAAGCGUCAAAGAAAAACGUGGGAUACAAAUUUGGCUAUAUGCUGGAACGUCUCGAUAAAAUGUUGGUAGUCGUUUGUUUUGGCGACAAAACAAAUUUCUGAAAAUCCAACACGGAGAGAUAAUCAGCAGGAAAGACUUCUCAUCGAGAAGAAUCCUCAGAGACUAUAUGCCAGAACAAUCAAGUUUGCCAACGCCGAGCGCGAAAGCGCGAGGCAAAUGACUCCGAGCGAAGCGAGGAGUCAUUCCGUUCGCAAACUUUUUGCGCGCAGCGCAAAAAGGUUGUAAGAUAUAGUCCGACCCGUGCAGCGAUGUACGGACGCGUUCAGAAAUGGGCGCGCGCCAUCCAAUGGGUGGUCAGUAACUCUUCGGAGUGAAGCAACAGAAUGAGCGUAAUACCUUGCCGGUUGAAUGCCGGCUCGCAUGAAUGGCGCAACGAGAUCGACACUGUCCCUAGCUCAAAGCCCCUGAAACCAUUGUUCUGGUGCAAAGACCAGAGAUUUCCAGUGGGAAGCGAAGACCCCGUGAAACUUUACUGUAGCUUAUUGCUGUGAUGCAAGUUGUGAUGUGCAGCGUAGAUGGGAGUCGUUAAAGCAUGGUCGCCAGGUCAUGUGUAGACAACAAUGAAACACCAUCCUUCAUGACUUGCAUUGCUCACUCGCAAUGCGAGGACACCGGUAGGCGGACAGUUUGGCUGGGGUGGCACACCGAUGAAACGAUAUCAUCGGUGCCCAAAGGUUGGCUCAGUCCGGUCAGAAAUCGGACGUGGAGUGCAAGGGCAUAAGCCAGCCUGAUUGGAUUCCGAACAGUAAGGAAUCCAAACACGAAAGUGUGGCCUAGCGAACCAGUAUGUCCUCCUUGAUGGGGGCUACUGAUGACAGAAAAGUUACUCCGGGGAUAACAGAGUUGUCGCGCCCGAUAGUUCCUAUAGACGGCGCGGUUUGCUACAUCGACGUCGGCUCUUCCUAUCCCGCGCGUGCAGAAGCGUGCAAGGGUGGGGGUGUUCACCCAUUAAAAGGGAUCGUUAGCUGGGUUCAGAACGCUGUGAGGCAGUUUGUUUGAUAUCUACUGGAAAUGCGGGAUGUCUGAGGGGAAGGACCUUCUAGUACGAGAGGAACGAAGGUUCGCGGCCACUGGUCUUCCGGUUAUCCGAUAGGGUAGGCCGGGCAGCUACGCCGUAUGCCGAUAAGUGCUGAAAGCAUCUAAGCACGAAGCGGCCCUCGAAAAGAGACAUCAUAGAACUCCCAUAGAAGAUGGGAUUGAUAGAGCGGGUGUGUACGCGCAAAGGUAACGAUGCGCUCAGCUAGCCGCUACUAAAAGUUCAUUUUUUCUCUACC
rnacentral:rRNA from 1 species